rnacentral:tRNA from 3 species
GGGCCAAUAGCUCAAUUGGUAGAGCAGCGGACUCUUAAUCCGUUGGCUGACAGUUCAAGUCUGUCUUGGCCCA